GAUGAACGCUGGCGGCAGGCCUAACACAUGCAAGUCGAGCGGACGGAGGGGGAUUGUUCUUGGCUGCUGUGGGCGGCGGGCGGGUGAUGAACACGUGUAUGACCUACCUAGAAGACUGAGGUAAGGAAGCGAAACCUGAUCUAGUACCGGACAAUAUGUUGAACGGCAGGGUUCAAAAGUCAAAGAGGGUCUUGCUGUGACUAAGAGGUGGAACCGAGCUGGAUUAGCUAGUUGGUAAGGUAACGGCUUACCAAGGCGACGAUGCAUAGCCGACCUGAGAGGGUGAUCAGUCACACUGGAACUGAGACACGGUCCAGACUCCUACGGGAGGCAGCAGUAGGGAAUCUUACGCAAUGGGCGAAAGCCUGAUCGAGCAACGCCGCGUGAGUGAUGAAGGUCUUCGGAUCGUAAAACUCUGUAAUUAGGGAGGAAGAUAUGUGUAUGUAUCUGUGCCCAUCUUGACGGUACCUACAGAAAAAGCCCCGGCUAACUACGUG
rnacentral:rRNA from 1 species